rnacentral:rRNA from 2 species
UACGAAGGGGGCUAGCGUUGCUCGGAAUCACUGGGCGUAAAGCGCACGUAGGCGGCUUUCUAAGUCAGGGGUGAAAUCCUGGAGCUCAACUCCAGAACUGCCUUUGAUACUGGAGAGCUUGAGUUCGGGAGAGGUGAGUGGAACUGCGAGUGUAGAGGUGAAAUUCGUAGAUAUUCGCAAGAACACCAGUGGCGAAGGCGGCUCACUGGCCCGAUACUGACGCUGAGGUGCGAAAGCGUGGGGAGCAAACAGG